rnacentral:miRNA from 1 species
CCCCGCCUUCUAAAUACACAUACGCACUUACUGACAGACACAUAUACACUCAGUGUCAGUGAGUGCGUAUGUGUAUUUAGAAGGCGGGG